UACGGGGGGGGUAAGCGUUGUUCGGAAUUACUGGGCGUAAAGGGCUCGUAGGCGGCCAACUAAGUCAGACGUGAAAUCCCUCAGCUUAACUGGGGAACUGCGUCUGAUACUGGAUGGCUUGGAUUCGGGAGAGGAAUGCGGAAUUCCAGGUGUAGCGGUGAAAUGCGUAGAUAUCUGGAGGAAUACCGGUGGCGAAGGCGGCAUCCUGGACCGGCAUUGACGCUGAGGAGCGAAAGCUAGGGGAGCAAACGGG
rnacentral:rRNA from 1 species